rnacentral:rRNA from 1 species
UACGGAGGGUGCAAGCGUUGUCCGGAAUCAUUGGGCGUAAAGAGCUUGUAGGCGGUUUGUCGCGUCUGCUGUGAAAAUCCGGGGCUCAACCCCGGACUUGCAGUGGGUACGGGCAGACUAGAGUGUGGUAGGGGAGACUGGAAUUCCUGGUGUAGCGGUGAAAUGCGCAGAUAUCAGGAGGAACACCGAUGGCGAAGGCAGGUCUCUGGGCCACUACUGACGCUGAGAAGCGAAAGCAUGGGGAGCGAACAGG